rnacentral:rRNA from 1 species
GCGAGCGCAGGCGGAAAAAUAAGUCUAAUGUGAAAGCCCUCGGCUUAACCGAGGAAUUGCAUCGGAAACUGUUUUUCUUGAGUGCAGAAGAGGAGAGUGGAACUCCAUGUGUAGCGGUGGAAUGCGUAGAUAUAUGGAAGAACACCAGUGGCGAAGGCGGCUCUCUGGUCUGCAACUGACGCUGAGGCUCGAAAGCAUGGGUAGCGAACAGGAUUAGAUACCCUGGUAGUCCAUGCCGUAAACGAUGAGUGCUAAGUGUUGGGAGGUUUCCGCCUCUCAGUGCUGCAGCUAACGCAUUAAGCACUCCGCCUGGGGAGUACGACCGCAAGGUUGAAACUCAAAGGAAUUGACGGGGGCCCGCACAAGCGGUGGAGCAUGUGGUUUAAUUCGAAGCAACGCGAAGAACCUUACCAGGUCUUGACAUCUAGUGCAAUCUGUAGAGAUACGGAGUUCCCUUCGGGGACGCUAAGACAGGUGGUGCAUGGCUGUCGUCAGCUCGUGUCGUGAGAUGUUGGGUUAAGUCCCGCAACGAGCGCAACCCUUGUUAUUAGUUGCCAGCAUUAAGUUGGGCACUCUAAUGAGACUGCCGGUGACAAACCGGAGGAAGGUGGGGAUGACGUCAAGUCAUCAUGCCCCUUAUGACCUGGGCUACACACGUGCUACAAUGGGCAGUACAACGAGAAGCAAGCCUGCGAAGGCAAGCGAAUCUCUGAAAGCUGUUCUCAGUUCGGACUGCAGUCUGCAACUCGACUGCACGAAGCUGGAAUCGCUAGUAAUC